UGCUCUCAUAUUCUUGAUCUAAUUUUGGUC
rnacentral:piRNA from 1 species